GACGAACGCUGGCGGCGUGCUUAACACAUGCAAGUCGAACGGAAAGACCCUGCUUUUGUGGGGUGCUCGAGUGGCGAACGGGUGAGUAACACGUGAGUAACCUGCCCUUGACUUUGGGAUAACUUCAGGAAACUGGGGCUAAUACCGGAUAGGAGCUCCUGCUGCAUGGUGGGGGUUGGAAAGUUUCGGCGGUUGGGGAUGGACUCGCGGCUUAUCAGCUUGUUGGUGGGGUAGUGGCUUACCAAGGCUUUGACGGGUAGCCGGCCUGAGAGGGUGACCGGCCACAUUGAGACUGAGAUACGGCCCAGACUCCUACGGGAGGCAGCAGUGGGGAAUAUUGCACAAUGGGCGGAAGCCUGAUGCAGCAACGCCGCGUGCGGGAUGACGGCCUUCGGGUUGUAAACCGCUUUCGCCUGUGACGAAGCGUGAGUGACGGUAAUGGGUAAAGAAGCACCGGCUAACUACGUG
rnacentral:rRNA from 1 species